rnacentral:rRNA from 1 species
UACGAAGGGGGCUAGCGUUGCUCGGAAUUACUGGGCGUAAAGCGCACGUAGGCGGAUUGUUAAGUCGGGGGUGAAAUCCUGGAGCUCAACUCCAGAACUGCCUUCGAUACUGGCGAUCUAGAGUCCGGGAGAGGUGAGUGGAACUGCGAGUGUAGAGGUGAAAUUCGUAGAUAUUCGCAAGAACACCAGUGGCGAAGGCGGCGCACUGGCCCGGUACUGACGCUGAGGUGCGAAAGCGUGGGGAGCAAACAGG